rnacentral:pre_miRNA from 1 species
UCUCAUUGAUGAGCAAAGAAAGUGGUUUCUUGAAGUAAAAUCUAUUCCUGGUGAAGAUGGUGUGAA